GAGGUAAAGACCGUAACUGGUCGUUUUGGGAUGUUCCUGCGUCCUAUCAGGUAGUUGGUAAGGUAACGGCUUACCAAGCCUAUGACGGGUAGCUGGCCCGGGAGGGUGGUCAGCCAGAGGAGCACUGAGACACGGGCUCCAUUUCUACGGAAAGCAGCAAUCAGGAAUAGUCGGCAAUGGGCGAAAGCCUGACCGCGCGACGCCGCGUGUGGGAAGAAGCUCUUAGGAGUGUAAACCACUGUUGUAGGGGAAGAAGGGCAGCUUAGCUGCCUUGACGGUACCCUACGAGAAAGGGGCCGCUAACUGCGUGCCAGAAGCGUCGGUAAUACGUGGGCCCCAAACAUUAUCCGGUUUUACUGGGCGUAAAGGGUCGUGUAGGUGUCCCGAUAAGUUUCGUUUUAAAUACUAUGGCUUAACCAUAGGAAAGGGCGAAAAACUAUCGGGAUUGAGUUUUCUUUAGGGAGACUGGAACUUAGAGAGGAGUAGUGAAAUGCGUUGAUACUCUAGGGAACACCAGUGGCGAAGGCGAGUCUCUGAAAGAUAACUGACACUGAGACACGAAAGCUAGGGGAGCGAAGCAGAUUAGAGACCUGCGUAGUCCUAGCUGUAAACGCAUGUCUGCUAGCUGCAUGUUCCGAUUUAUCGGGACGUGUGGCGAAGGUAACCCGUUAAGCAGACCGCCUGGGGAGUACGGCCGCAAGGUUGAAACUCAAAGGAAUUGGCGGGGAGGCACACAACCAGUGGAACAUGUGGUUUAAUUCGAAACGAACCGAAGAACCUCACCAAGAUUUGACAUGCUACCGUACAUUUUGCUAGAAAUAGUGAGAAAUCCGCAAGGAUGGUAGCACAGGUACUGCAUGGCUGUCGUAAGCUCGUUCCGUGAGGAGUGCCCUUAAGUGGGACAACGAGCGCAACCCCUGCUCCGUGUUAGAAAUGUCACGGGGGACGGACCCAGCUUAGCUGGGAAGGAAGGAGGGGCAGAUGUCAAGUCAGCAUGGUCCUUAUACCUUGGGCUACACACAUGUUACAAUGAGUAAAAACAAUGGGCUUUGCCAGAUCGUAAGAUUGAGCGAAUCCCUGAAAUCUACUCUCAGUGGGGAUUGAGGUCUGCAACCCGACCUCAUGAACGCGGAAUUGGUAGUAAUCGCGGAUCA
rnacentral:rRNA from 1 species